AAAAAGACAAACCCUGGGUUUCCGUGUCCAACUUUGAUUGUCCGUCUUAUAUGAAUUUUUUUUAUAAUUCGUAUUUUCAUUGUUGUUAGAUGAUAAAACAUGAUUAAUAUUUUAUGCGUGACUUGUCUUUUUAAUUUUUUUUCAUAAUUUUUUCAAAUAAGACGGACGGUCAAACGUUGGACACGGAAACCAGGGUUUGUCUUUUU
rnacentral:pre_miRNA from 1 species